AUUUCAUGACAAUUAUCGUACUCGAUAGAGAUUCCCCAGCUUAUCUUCUUCUCUGCAGGCGUCGUAUAGUACUGGAGGAGGCAUAGUGUAGUCUAAUUUACUGGAUCGUAGAGCUCACGCAGGGCGGUUCAUUAGUUAGAUGUAAAAUCACCGCGUUUAACUUGGGACUUGCAUCUAUACUGGUCAGCUAGAGUCUUGUAGAGGUGGGUAGAACUCCAUGUGUAGCGGUGAAAAUGCGUAGAGAUGUGGAGGAAUACUCGGUGGCGAAGGCGACCCCCUGGACAAAGACUGACGCUCAGGUGAGAAAGCGUGGGGAGCAAACAGGAUUAGAUCCCCUGGUAGUCCCACGCUGUAAACGAUGUCGAUUUGAAGGUUGUUCCCUAGAGGAGUGGCUUUCGGAGCUAACGCGUUAAAUCGACCGCCUGGGGAGUACGGCCGCAAGGUUAAAACUCAAAUGAAUUGACGGGGGCCCGCACAAGCGGUGGAGCAUGUGGUUUAAUUUGAUGCAACGCGAAGAACCUUACCUACUCUUGACAUCCAGAGAAUUUAGCAGAGAUGCUUUAGUGCCUUCGGGAACUCUGAGACAGGUGCUGCAUGGCUGUCGUCAGCUCGUGUUGUGAAAUGUUGGGUUAAGUCCCGCAACGAGCGCAACCCUUAUCCUUUGUUGCCAGCGAUUCGGUCGGGAACUCAAAGGAGACUGCCGGUGAUAAACCGGAGGAAGGUGGGGAUGACGUCAAGUCAUCAUGGCCCUUACGAGUAGGGCUACACACGUGCUACAAUGGCGUAUACAAAGAGAAGCGACCUCGCGAGAGCAAGCGGAACUCAUAAAGUACGUCGUAGUCCGGAUUGGAGUCUGCAACUCGACUCCAUGAAGUCGGAAUCGCUAGUAAUCGUAGAUCAGAAUGCUACGGUGAAUACGUUCCCGGGCCUUGUACACACCGCCCGUCACACCAUGGGAGUGGGUUGCAAAAGAAGUAGGUAGCUUAACCUUCGGGAGGGC
rnacentral:rRNA from 1 species